UAUUAAGAACAAGUGAGUGCCGUCCUGUAUCAAGUGCAUGUCAUGGGUUUGAUAAUAUCUUAAAGAAUCAAUUUGUACUACAUUAUUCGCUGGAGGUAGCAUCACGAUGACGCAGAAUUAAGGACUCGUGAUUGGGAGUGUCUAAAAAUUUAUCAACUAUUCUGAUGUUCCAUAAAUCGUUAGUUUACCGAAAAAGGAAGGAGCUACCAUCGCGGUUUGAUUGCGUUCAUCUUGGACUAAUCAUGAUCAAUUUGAUGAGGCCUCCAUCAGUUUCGUAUAGGUUGUGCUAAGGAUUCAACAAAUUAUGAGAAACCUGACGUCGAAAGAUAGUGAUAGACCAUCGGAUGAAGUUUACUAUAUGUUUUUGUCUUUACCAUGUUUUUUCUUAUACCAUGUUGAUUUUCAAAUAAAGUGCAAGUUCUGAAUGAAAGAGUAGACAUUUUCUUAUUGAUGUCAAAUUUUGCAACAAAUUUUUUUGCCUUACCAAUCAUGCGGUGUGGGUGCUCACCGGCGCUGGAGCUGAGGUGAGGCGAAUUCAAAACUUCACCCAAAUGUCCGGAUUUCUCAUAUUUCCGGCUUGGAAUGCCCAGAUUUCUUGUUUCCUUGGCUUAUACUUUGGGUCUUGCACCUUUUCUUUAUAGGUUCUGCGAAUUCUUGUUUAGGGAUCCGAUGGAGAGCUCGGAUAUGGCAUCGCAGCCGUUGAGCGACAGGGUCACGCCGAAGCUCCUCCUCGGCUGCACGGAUUGCGUCACUGUCAUGCCGGGCGAGCCGUAGACUGGAUCCGGAAAGACAUAUACGACGGGUACCAAUUAUACUGGUGAAGCUGAUCGUGGAGGAAUAAUUGCACCUCUCAUGGAGACGAUAUUCAGGAAAUCUGAUGCGAUGAACCGUCAGACAGAGUUCUUAAUUAGGGUAUCCUUCAUCGAGAUAUUCAAGGAGGAAGUAUUUGAUUUACUUGAUGAUCAUGGGUCUGUUGCAAAAGUGGCAGCGCCUGCUAGAGUGCCUAUUCAGAUUCGACAAAACUGCAAAUGGAAGCAUUACACUUGCUAGCGUGAUGGAGGCUAAGGUCAAGUCAAAAGAAGAUAUGGGCCAUAUGGCCAUGCACUUGGCACGAGGAUCUUCGUCACGCGCAACUGAAAGUACAAACAUACAUAGCCAGGCAAGGGUGAUUGAGGAGUAAAUGCAAAGGUACAAAGAGUAACUGAUAAGUGUGUUUGAACAAUGAUAGUUGUUCACAUUAGGCAUUUGC